rnacentral:lncRNA from 1 species
UUCCUAUUUGUACAAUAUAAUAAUUCAAACAGUUUCACUCAAAAGAAAGAAAGACAAACAUGAUGGGCAAAUAGCGACACGUGUAUAGGCCAAACAAAAAUUUAUGCAAUUUGCUAAAGGUGAAUAACAACAAAUCUGUUUGUGCUGGUGGGUCCACCUCGAGGAAUCCAUAGUGGAUAAGGAGGUGUCCUCUACGUGGCAAGAUGGUGAAUACAUACCCAACACAAAGAUGCUCACUCAAAAGGGAGCACUAGUGAUUAGUUAAAACUUAUGAUGGUGGCCGGGAAAGUGCAAAAGGGAAGACCUUGACAUCCCAAAACAUAAAAAUAAAUCCUUGGUUUGCACACAUUACACAAACAUGGUACAUCCAUGUGUUUUUUGAUUGGUGGAAGGCAUUAGGUCCAGCAGCACACAUCAGCUGAGGAUGAUCAUAUGCUGAUAUGGAAAAGUUUCA